rnacentral:rRNA from 1 species
UGGGGAAUAUUGCACAAUGGGCGCAAGCCUGAUGCAGCCAUGCCGCGUGUGUGAAGAAGGCCUUCGGGUUGUAAAGCACUUUCAGCGGGGAGGAAGGCGUUAAGGUUAAUAACCUUGGCGAUUGACGUUACCCGCAGAAGAAGCACCGGCUAACUCCGUGCCAGCAGCCGCGGUAAUACGGAGGGUGCAAGCGUUAAUCGGAAUUACUGGGCGUAAAGCGCACGCAGGCGGUUGAUUGAGUCAGAUGUGAAAUCCCCGGGCUCAACCUGGGAACUGCAUCUGAUACUGGCAAGCUUGAGUCUCGUAGAGGGGGGUAGAAUUCCAGGUGUAGCGGUGAAAUGCGUAGAGAUCUGGAGGAAUACCUGUGGCGAAGGCGGCCCCCUGGACGAAGACUGACGCUCAGGUGCGAAAGCGUGGGGAGCAAACAGG